AGUGGAAUAGCUCAAUGGAAGAGCAGCCGCCCUUUUCAAUUACAGAAUACCUAGGUUGACGUGAGUUCGAUUCUCACAUCUGCUC
rfam:Blastocystis sp. NandII AV274scaffold_99, whole genome shotgun sequence.